UUUGCCCCCAACAGCGCCUUCCAGGCAGCGCUGCCUGGAAGGCGCUGUUGGGUGGCAGUGGUUAUG